rnacentral:lncRNA from 1 species
UAUAUAUUAGUAAUCAAUAUGUUCGCAUUGUAUUCAAUGUAGGGUUGUUUUCUCCAACAAGUGGCUCUAGAAAGAGACGGAAAUCGGUUGAUUCAAUAAGCUGCAAUAGCAAAAAUGCUUCCUAGAGUCUCAUCCAUUACACCGCUUACUCUAAACUUUUUUCCUCUCCUUAUUUAGUCGGCCGGAUGCCGGCCUAGCUCACUCCAAAUUCAAUAACAACUUUUUUUUGAAAGCUAAAAAAACGAAAAUUGCGCUGAUUAAACAGCAGAAGGUCAGUUAAAGCCUUUCUGACCCACUUUUCUCUCCCUCCUUUCUCUUUUUGCCUCCAAUUGUCUCCUGACGCUCCUGUUGGUUCUGCUUGUGGUAGCUCUGUACAAACCCAUCGCUAGACCAGAGUAGCACAUUCUGUCUUUUCCCAGUGUUUCUAUCUCAUUUUUCGUCUCCUUUCCCGCUUCUCGUGUUCCAUUUCUUGCUCAUGCAUCAAAGCGACCUAGAUGAUUUAUAACCCAAGACUAGGAAAAACCCGAGUGCUGCCUAGGCGUUGCUUGCGGUGCUCGUUCACGGUGGUCUACUGCAAGAAAUAUGGACGAGCUCUGAAUGCUGAAGGACCGUUGAAAAGGGGGUUCAUCGGAAAAUUAGAGCUGCGCAAAGAAAGCUGCCGUACAGUUGUAACAGCAGCGUAUUUCAACGGGUGGGCGCAAGGCGGAUUGCGAUAACGGCGGCGAUGAGAAGCCAUCCGUCAGUGUACUAAGAAGUGGAUGUGACUUCGAAACAAAGAAAAGUUCGCAGCCCAGAUCGGCGCAUCAUAGCAUCGUCACUAAUCACUCACCUCCGCCGUGUGCACUCUUCAUUGUUGAGUCUGGCGCAUCUGUUAUAUAUAUAUAUGUAUAUAUAAGGCUCGACACCCUCACUCUGUGCCUGCCCUUCAAGGGAAUGCUGGCAGAUAUUUGCAACGGCUCGCACAAAGCAGCGAACAAGUUUAUAGCCUCAUUGGCUUAGGAUUUGCUCGUAGUUUUCAUAUUUGUCAAACUGCAAUCGGUAAGAAUAUCGUAGGUGGUGAAAAAGACUCUAUUUUUAAAAGGCGACCAACACCGGUGAGCAUUGACGGAUGAUUGUACUCGGCUAUGUUUUCAACAGAGAGACAUGACCAGGCUAGUAAGUUACUUCUAUCAACGACAUCUUCCAGUAAAGUAUGCUAGUUAUCAUAGAGGAUUAAUCAGUUUAGAAUGUUUGGUUUAAUUCUGACGAAUAACGAUUUCAGACUAGAUAAAACGACUGGAGUACUGAAGUGCGAUGCCUCUUAUAGAAUGAUCUGACUGGUAGCCCAGCCAUUGGCUGCCAGAUGAAUUAGGACUUUGAAGAAAUUAGGUGAGGCUAUUUAAAUAGGAAGAUAAAAUAAACCUAUACCGAUCUAACCUAUAGGGACCUCAAAUCAUCUCGUUUAAUCUAAUUAAGAAGGAAUUAUGGAUCUCGGGAAACUGCUCCUGCAGUAGUUAAAGUGUUUAAUCUCAUCAAGAAAUAUAUAAUUAGAAAAAUUAUCUCCUUUUUUGAUUCGGGUUUUUUAAAUCAUAGAUGCUAUCCAAGGGAUCUCGAAAUGUUAAUUUCGAUUUUGAAAUUCUCACAGGAUAUGUCUGUUUAAUAACUUCAUAGUGAUGAUGCAAUGUGAUAAUAAUAAUAAUAAUAACACAUUAACAAAAUAAGAUAGCAGCCAUUCUUCAUCGGAUUAGGUGACCGCGGCGGUGUGGAGGAGCUUUUCGGCCUAACAUGGCCGUUGGAUCGCACCCAGUUUACCAUUGACUCGCUAAUUAUUCUUAGACUAACCGGUGCCGAUGUAGGUCUUUGUUGUUAAAUAUUCUCUCAAGCAACCUAACCUAAUCUACUUCCCUCUUGAAUAUAGACACUGUGGCUCGUCGCUUUCGUCCUCGUCUGUUGCAUCUUUUUCCUGAUGCUACCGUUCAGUGCUGCUGCUGCUGUUGGAGAUGCUCGUUGUUACGUUCUUAUCGUCGUCGUUGAAAAAGCCUUUCGUUGUACGGAAUGUCACCGCAUCCGUGUUUUUCUGAUCUGCUCUGACCGUCCGUGGCUGGAGCAGACCUUUUUGCCAACGUCAGCAAAGGAAGAAGUAAGCGUUAAUAUCGACCGUCUUAAGGCUCAGGUCAAACUGAGAAAGCAGCGAGUAGAAGGCAGACGAAAAUCUUCCUAUAAUCGAAUUACA